rnacentral:lncRNA from 1 species
GUCCAACCUCGUGGAACUCCACAUCAAUCCAACUAGUAAUUUUGCUUGAAAGCAUUGCUGCUCGUACCAAAAAUGAGCGAACCUUGACCUUAGUUUGGCAGACAUGGCCUCAUGAUGAAUUGUUGACUUACUGCAUUGGAAGUUAGUGAGACAAUCAUUUUCAAAAAUUUUUAGGAACCGUUUGGAAUAAACUUUGUGGAUUUUUGUUAUACCUUGGAACCAU